GCAUUAAUGGGGUAGUGGUAACCUGGGUCGUUGCCAUGAGUGGUCUCUGUCUACUCGACCCGCCGGGGGUUCGAUUCCCCCUUAAUGCA